UAACUACGUAUUCGACGGAUUCCUUUGU
rnacentral:sRNA from 1 species